UGGGGAAUUUUGGACAAUGGGGGAAACCCUGAUCCAGCCAUCCCGCGUGUUCGAUGAAGGCCUUCGGGUUGUAAAGCACUUUUGGCAGGAAAGAAACGUCAUGGGUUAAUACCCCGUGAAACUGACGGUACCUGCAGAAUAAGCACCGGCUAACUACGUGCCAGCAGCCGCGGUAAUACGUAGGGUGCAAGCGUUAAUCGGAAUUACUGGGCGUAAAGCGUGCGCAGGCGGUUCGGAAAGAAAGAUGUGAAAUCCCAGAGCUCAACUUUGGAACUGCAUUUUUAACUACCGGGCUAGAGUGUGUCAGAGGGAGGUGGAAUUCCGCGUGUAGCAGUGAAAUGCGUAGAUAUGCGGAGGAACAACGAUGGCGAAGGCAGCCUCCUGGGAUAACACUGACGCUCAUGCACGAAAGCGUGGGGAGCAAACAGG
rnacentral:rRNA from 1 species